rnacentral:rRNA from 1 species
CGCGUAGGCGGACAGUUAAGUCGGGGGUGAAAGCCCGGGGCUCAACCUCGGAAUUGCCUUCGAUACUGGCUGUCUUGAGUACGGGAGAGGUGUGUGGAACUCCGAGUGUAGAGGUGAAAUUCGUAGAUAUUCGGAAGAACACCAGUGGCGAAGGCGACACACUGGCCCGUUACUGACGCUGAGGCGCGAAAGCGUGGGGAGCAAACAGGAUUAGAUACCCUGGUAGUCCACGCUGUAAACGAUGAGUGCUAGUUGUCGGUAUGCAUGCAUAUCGGUGACGCAGCUAACGCAUUAAGCACUCCGCCUGGGGAGUACGGUCGCAAGAUUAAA